rnacentral:tRNA from 1 species
GGGCGCAUAGCUCAGUUGGUAGAGCAUCUGCCUUACAAGCAGGUGGUCAUAGGUUCGAGUCCUAUUGCGCCCACCA